rnacentral:rRNA from 1 species
UGAGGAAUAUUGGUCAAUGGGCGGGAGCCUGAACCAGCCAAGCCGCGUGAGGGAAGAAGGUACAGCGUAUCGUAAACCUCUUUUUGUCAGGGAACAAAAGGCGGGGGACUAGUCCCCGGAUGAGGGUACCUGAAGAAAAAGCAUCGGCUAACUCCGUGCC